CCAAUCCCCUCUCGUCAUGCCGCGUCUGGCGGCGCCGCUCCGCCUCCAUGGCUGCCCAGCCUUCUCUUUCUCCCACGCCCCAUAUCCAACCGAGAAGAAACAUGGCAGCGGCAGCGCCGAGCACGCCCCUGGGUGACGGAGCCGACCGCGCGCCUGGAGACGGCGGCGGUGAAGGCGAGCGCGUUCCUGGGGGACGGCGCGAGCGCGCGCCUGGGCGACUGCGGCGGCGAGCGCGCGCCUAGGCGACUGCGGCGGCGAGCGCGCCCCUAGAGACGGCGGCGGCAAAGGCGGCAGUAGGGGCAAGGUCAUCAAUCGCUCGUCUCCUCUCCCUCGUCUCCUCUCGCGCCGCCUCUCCUCCUUUCCCCGUGCUCUCCUCUUCCCUUUUCUUCACCGUCGCGGGGGGAACUGCGCGAGCGCCGGGUACCAGCCCCGCUCCCUCGCUCCCGAGGUGAGCUUGCGCCGACGCGGGGAACCGCAAGAGCGCUGCCUCGAGCCGAUUGGCGGCUACCAGCGCCCUCCUCCUCAUCCCUCGAGCCUAGACCAGGGGCUGCAGCGGCGCUCCGUCUCUCCAUCCCCCGACCGAGGUGCGAGUGAGUCUCGCGGAUAAGGGGCACGCAAAGGCCGGCCAGAUCCAGGGCUCGAGACUGGAUGCUAAAAGAUUGUUUGUUGCCUCCCGUGUCUUCGUGGGAAUAACAUGGGCUGCCGCAGGCUGAGUUCAAAUGGAACUCAGGAGGACCUAGACAGCUGCCUUCAUAGAGAAGGAUGAGGACGCCUGCCCGCCACCAUGGAUUUCGCCAGCUCGACCCUAGAGUCUGGAUGCCGCCACCGUCAUGAGAUCAGUUGUUCGGGGUUGAACGUCGAUGGCGUUGUUGAUCUCCAGCUCAGAAGGUAGUUUGACCAUGUUAGUAAGGAUAAAAGGAUGGAGCGGCAAUGCUGAUGUAGCCUAUGACCGCCCCACCAGGAGGACCUAGACUGCUGCCAUCGUGGAGAAGGAUGAGGACGCCUGCUCGCCACCAUGGAUUUCGCUGGCUCGAACCCAGGGCCUGGAUGCCGCCACUGCCAUGAGAUCAGGUGUUUGGGGCUGAACGUCGACGGCGUUGUUGAUCUCUAGCUUGGAAGGUAGUUUGACCAUGUUAGUAAGGAUAAAAGGAUGGAGCAGCAAUGCUGAUGCAGCCUAAGACCGGCCCACCAGAAAUAACAAUGUAACCCCAAGUUGAGGCACUUGGCAUAUCAGGAGAUGAUGAUCUGGAAGGGAAGUUGUAGAUGGAAAAUAUGGCAGCAAUGAUCAAGGCAUGGAUAAGAGGACAAGGGGGCUUUUGAGGAGAGAUGGAGACAGAGGACAGCUAUGUAUAGAAGGGUGGGGGAGGAUAUGCCACGAUCUGCAAGGGGUCACCUUGCUGGUGCUCAGCAGCAGACGCCGGUGAGAACUACGAGGAGUAAGAGGAUGGAAAGAAAAAGAUGGAGCAACAAGACUACAAGAGUGGAGUAGGUAGAGAUGUGGAGGAGCCAGAAACAUUGUGGCUUGGUUCUUUCUUGUGAGGUAGCUCUCACAAGCGAAGUAGGGGCACUUUUUAAGUACAUCGUGUGAUUGGUGACAUGGGAAACCAACGAGAAAAGCACACUUCUUGAGGUGAUGCUCCAAUAUCACAGGGUCUUGGGACCGCUCAACGAAUAGCAAGGAGAAUCUUCCUCCACUAGCAAGUGAGAACCGAAGGUGAAGAGGAAGAUGCAUAGAGGGAGAUUCAAAGGAGGAUAAUAUAGUCCAAGCGAGGAGGAAGAGGAGACCUGCUGUGGCGCGGAGCAUCACCGGCCGGUGAUUGUGAUAAGAGAAUCACACCCAGAUAAUAGCCUCCAGCUACAGUAAGCUCCCUUCAUUCGGCUCCUAAGUUGUCUACUUAGUUUCUUAUUUAUUCCACAGGUAGCAAAUUGGUAGAAAGUUUGGUUCAAUGAUUUAUGUGAGCUGCAAAGAUAACAUCACUGUUCGUAAGGAUUUUUUGAAGACACUUUUCAUGAAUGGCUCCAGAUUUUUUGGAGUUAUUUCAUAAGGAACAUUCCUUUUUAGCGAGAUGAGUAAUUUCUGAUUCUAUGGAAUAGUUCUUAAAAAAACCUGCUAGGUCAAGAGAUAACACUUCCCAAUUAAACUUGCAGAUGUUUCUUACUUCGCCAUACGUUCUUUCCAGUUUGUCUGCUUUGGUUACAGAAAUGUCACAGAGUAGUGGUAUACCAGUUGAAUCCUUUCUAUUUACAUUGUAAGAACCGAUGAUAUCCAGGCAGCACCAAGCGUGGCUUGAACAUGGUUACUUUAGAGAAUUAAACAAACCACAUCAUUAGAUACUUUGGAGAUUACAUGUGGUGAAAGAAAGAAAAUACGGUACGAGAAAGAAAAUGUUGGGUUUGGUAUUUAAAUAGACCGUUUUUCCUGUAGUUCUUCCACUACAUCAGAUGUUGGGUUUGGUAUUCCUGCAAUCUUACCUGAAGGGACUGUACAUACAUGGUUUCAGGCUUUCAAAUUUUGAAUGUACAGGGAGAAUCUCAGAAUUCUUUUAUGCCAUAGACCUGGCAUUUUUUUCCUGUAAGAACAGAUAUUCGCUUGCUUUUGGAUAUCCGUACCUCUUUUUUUUGCAUUAGGAACUGCCUUUGUUGCCAUGCUCUUAUGAACUUUUUCAUUUAGAGGUUCAGUGAGUAAAUUGAUAUCUUCAAGCUCAGUCAAGAAAGUUAAUUGUGAGUAUUUUGAUUAACAGAAAAAUUCUGAAAUCUAAUAUUACUGUCAGAUAUCUCUUCCUUAAGUGGCAUGUGAAUAUCAGAUAUCUUACUUUGGAAUUCAUAUAGCUCUGAGAAGGUUCGCGAAAAUACAGCUGCAUGUGUUCAUGUUCCUGAACUCGUAGAAUCUUCAAAAAAAAAACUGUUUUAAUCACUGAAAUUUCUAAAAUGGCACAAUACCAGCAGCUUCAAUACGAGUGCAAGAUUGAAAAGUACAGGGCCUCACCGAAAUUCCACGGUCGAGCUGCUGUUGCCCGAGAGCCUGAGAUGGCGAUGUCGAGUCGGCACUCACGCUGCUUGUGGACGGCGACCUAUCGGCGGGACGGCAGCCGGCGGUGAUGGCAACCAGGCGCAUGCAUCCAGCGAGCUCUCAGCUCUGCCGCUGCUGGCGCUGCCUCCUAGCUAGCUCCUCCGAUCCUUCAACCUCCACUUUAUCUUCUCAAUUCGUUGGGUAAUAAAGAAUCAAGGAAGAAGGAUAUGGACUGGGGCUUUCUGGUAGUCCAAUCUUCCAAUAAAGCCAAUCUGCAAAUCAAGCUUCGUACAUCACAGCUCUUGCCUUCUCUGGUUCAGUACAUGAAAACUUGAGUUCAACUUCGUGCCCCUAUUUGAUUGACACAUUGGUAGAAGGGAAUGCAUGAGAGUAGUGAAUGAGCAUUAUUCAGUUCUUCCAUCUCUGAUAGUUAAUUUGAGAAAAUUCAAGACGGUUAUCUGUAUGCUCUUGUGGCUUUGUUAUUUACUGCUUCCAUAGUUACACCAAGGAAUCUGUUUUGAGAGAA